UGUUGUGUUUUCAUAUACACACAUAUGUAUGUGUUAUACAUAUAGAUCUGUGUACACAUGUGUCUUGCAUUUGUGCAUAUACACACACACACAUAUACAUUAAUGCAAUUUA
rnacentral:miRNA from 1 species